rnacentral:tRNA from 1 species
GGGGUUGUGGCUCAGUGGUACAGCACUUGCCUAGCAUGCAUGAGGCACUGGGUUCGAUCCCUGGCACCA